rnacentral:rRNA from 1 species
GUUAGUGGCAGACGGGUGAGUAAUGCGUAGGAAUCUACCUAGUAGUAUGGAAUAGCUAUUAGAAAUGAUAGGUAAUACUGUAUAAUCCCUGCGGGGGAAAGAUUUAUCGCUAUUAGAUGAGCCUACGUUAGAUUAGCUAGUUGGUAAGGUAAUGGCUUACCAAGGCUAUGAUCUAUAGCUGGUCUGAGAGGACGAUCAGCCACACUGGAACUGAGAUACGGUCCAGACUCCUACGGGAGGCAGCAGUGGGGAAUAUUGGACAAUGGGCGAAAGCCUGAUCCAGCUAUGCCGCGUGAGUGAAGAAGGCCUUCGGGUUGUAAAACUCUUUCAAUAGGGAAGAUAAUGACGGUACCUAUA